AGCUUUGCGCAGUGGCAGUAUCGUAGCCAGUGAGGUUUAUCCAAGGCACGAUUAUUGCUAACUGAAAACUUGGACUUCGCUGUAUGGCUUGGCUUCAUCUCAGCUUUUCCAGCACCUGUGGUCUGUGCCUUGAUGGUUAGGGAUUAGAGAGGAGGAUCACAUAUGAGCAGGGCA
rnacentral:snRNA from 1 species